rnacentral:rRNA from 1 species
GACGAACGCUGGCGGCGUGCCUAAUACAUGCAAGUAGAACGCACAGUUUAUACCGUAGCUUGCUACACCAUAGACUGUGAGUUGUGAACGGGUGAGUAACGCGUAGGUAACCUGCCUGGUAGCGGGGGAUAACUAUUGGAAACGAUAGCUAAUACCGCAUAAUAUUGAUUAUUGCAUGAUAAUUGAUUGAAAGAUGCUAUUGCAUCACUACCAGAUGGACCUGCGUUGUAUUAGCUAGUAGGUGAGGUAACGGCUCACCUAGGCGACGAUACAUAGCCGACCUGAGAGGGUGAUCGGCCACACUGGGACUGAGACACGGCCCAGACUCCUACGGGAGGCAGCAGUAGGGAAUCUUCGGCAAUGGACGAAAGUCUGACCGAGCAACGCCGCGUGAGUGAAGAAGGUUUUCGGAUCGUAAAGCUCUGUUGUAAGAGAAGAGCGGGUGUGAGAGUGGAAAGUUCACACUGUGACGGUAUCUUACCAGAAAGGGACGGCUAACUACGUG